UUAGGCAAAUCCGGCACUCUUAAGAUUGAGCUGUGAUGGGGAGAGGAACUUGUUCCUCGAGUCGUUGAUUUCACACUGCCGAGAAAAGCCUCUAGCUAGAAUAACGGUGCCCGUACCGCAAACCGACACAGGUAGUCAAGAUGAGAAUUCUAAGGUGAGCGAGCGAACUCUCGUUAAGGAACUCGGCAAAAUGACCCCGUAACUUCGGGAGAAGGGGUGCUCUUUGAGGUUCACGCUUCGAAGAGCCGCAGUGAAUAGGCCCAAGCGACUGUUUAUCAAAAACACAGGUCUCUGCUAAACCGUAAGGUGACGUAUAGGGGCUGACGCCUGCCCGGUGCUGGAAGGUUAAGAGGAGUGGUUAGCGCAAGCGAAGCUACGAAUCGAAGCCCCAGUAAACGGCGGCCGUAACUAUAACGGUCCUAAGGUAGCGAAAUUCCUUGUCGGGUAAGUUCCGACCCGCACGAAAGGCGUAACGAUUUGGGCACUGUCUCAACGAGAGACUCGGUGAAAUCAUAGUACCGGUGAAGAUGCCGGUUACCCGCGACAGGACGGAAAGACCCCGUGGAGCUUUACUGUAGCCUGAUAUUGAAAUUCGGUACAGUUUGUACAGGAUAGGUAGGAGCCUUAGAAGCGUGAGCGCUAGCUUACGUGGAGGCAUUGGUGGGAUACUACCCUAAUUGUAUUGGAUUUCUAACCCGCAGCACUUAUCGUGCUGGGAGACAGUGUCAGGCGGGCAGUUUGACUGGGGCGGUCGCCUCCUAAAGAGUAACGGAGGCGCUCAAAGGUUCCCUCAGAAUGGUUGGAAAUCAUUCAUAGAGUGUAAAGGCAUAAGGGAGCUUGACUGCGAGACCUACAAGUCGAGCAGGGUCGAAAGACGGACUUAGUGAUCCGGUGGUUCCGCAUGGAAGGGCCAUCGCUCAACGGAUAAAAGCUACCCCGGGGAUAACAGGCUUAUCUCCCCCAAGAGUUCACAUCGACGGGGAGGUUUGGCACCUCGAUGUCGGCUCAUCGCAUCCUGGGGCUGUAGUCGGUCCCAAGGGUUGGGCUGUUCGCCCAUUAAAGCGGUACGCGAGCUGGGUUCAGAACGUCGUGAGACAGUUCGGUCCCUAUCCGUCGUGGGCGUAGGAAAUUUGAGAGGAGCUGUCCUUAGUACGAGAGGACCGGGAUGGACAUACCUCUGGUGUACCAGUUGUCGUGCCAACGGCAUAGCUGGGUAGCUAUGUAUGGACGGGAUAAGUGCUGAAAGCAUCUAAGCAUGAAGCCCCCCU
rnacentral:rRNA from 1 species